CACGUAGGCGGCCUGUUAAGUGUGGAGUGAAAUCCCACGGCUCACCCGUGGAACUGCUUCGCAUACUGGCAAGCUCGAGGACGGUAGGGGAGAGCGGAACUCUUGGUGGAGCGGUGAAAUGCGUAGAUAUCAAGAGGAACACCGAUGGCGAAGGCAGCUCUCUGGUCCGUUUCUGACGCUGAGGUGCGAAAGCUGGGGUAGCGAACG
rnacentral:rRNA from 1 species